rnacentral:lncRNA from 1 species
UUUCCAAAUAUGGAUGUUUCUGGGAUGCUCCAAAAACCAAAUUACAUCAUGUUAUUUUUAACCAUAAUUAAAAAUUAAUUUCAUUGCAAAUCUUUUAAAAAGUAAGAUCAUAAACUUUCUUUGUCUUUGAAAUAAUCUGAUUGGAAAGAUGGAAUCACUAUGCCAAUAUGAAGUACUUCAUUCAUUCCCAGAAGAAUAGAUCCUCAAGUACUUAGAAUAAUAUUUUUUGAGGACUGAGUAUUUAUUGCAAACUGAAGUGGGCUCUAUGUUUUCUUUCACCUUUCAGAGAAAUCUGCUUUAAAUUAUCUUCAUAUCUCCCUUUGAUCAUGAUGGUUUGAAGUUAUCUUUUUCAUUAUCUUCUAAACCCAAAUACUUGAUUUUCUUCAAUGGAUUCUCCCAGAAGUCCAUUAUAUUUUCUAUUUCUUAAUUCCCUAUUCUAUCCUACAUAAUUGUUUCCUUAUGUCAUUUUACAUGAACUGUGCUGUCAUUUUAGGCAUGUAAUUAGAAAUUGACUUUGAUCCUUUUUCCAUGCAAGAAAAAUAGCAUGUUUUCUUGAAAUACCAAAUUGAACUCGCCGUUCUCUGUAGGGGAAUUG